AUAGUAUUUUGGACAAACGGUACCAUUAUGGUUUAAUAGGGAAUUCGGAAAUAGAGUGAUCUAAUGCCGAAGCUGUCCCCGCAACUGUGAGUGCUGACAAAUGAUCAUAAAGCCACUGUGAAAAACGGGAAGGCGAUCAUUUGGCUAAAAGGCACGAGCCAGGAGACCUGCCGUUACGUUCAAGACAGC
rnacentral:ncRNA from 1 species